AGACAGGAAAAGGCAGAUUCCUAAAAGAUCUUGAAGACUAGUUUUUAGAGCAGUUUAAGGCUUACAGCAAAGUUGGUAGGCAAGUUCAGUGAUUUCCUUUAACGGCCCCCACCCCUCGCCCCCCCAGAAGGCACAGCCUCCCCCCUCAUCUAUGUUCCCAGCAGAGGGUACAUUUGUGACAUUCACUGAAGCGGUGUUGACUGGAUCAUAGUCCCCGAAGCCCACAGCUUACCUUGGGGUCCUCUCUUGGUGUCGCGCCUUCUACGGGUUUGGGCGAGUGUAUGAUGAUAUUUAUCCAUCAUCACGUUAUCAUACAGAAUAUCUCCACCGCUCUAAAAAUCCUCCAUACUCUGCCCGUUCAUCUCUCUCGUCUGACCCAGGCAACCCCUGAUCUCCACUGUUCUGCCGUUUCUAGAAUGUCGUGUAGUUGGAAUCAGACUCUAUGCAGACUUUUCAGACUGGCUUCUUUCACUUGGUUGCAUGGAUUUAAGGUUCCUUUGUGUCUUUUCAUGGCUUGAUAGCUUCUUUCUGUUUAGUGCUGAAUGAUGUUCCAUUCGCUGGCUGUGUCUGUGUAUUUAACCAUUCCCCUACCAAAGGAUACCUUGAUUGCCCCGGGUUUCUGCAAUGGUAAAGAAAACUCCUACAAACAUCCAUGGACAAGUUCCUGUGUGGACAUAAGCUUUCCGGUUUUUUGAGUGAAUAUCAAGAAGUAUGAUUGCAAGAUCAUAAGAUAAGAGUAUGUUAACUUCAUAAGAAACAACCAAACUGUCUUUCUUAGUGGCUGCGCCACUUUGAAUUCCCAGCACCGUGAACGAGAGUUCCUGUUGCUCCACAGCCUGACCAGUGCUUGGUGGUGUCAGUGAACCAGAUUUUGGCCAUUCUGACAGGUGUGAGUGGUGUCUCCCUGUCGUGUUAAGCGUCAUGUCUCUGACGACACAGGAUGUGGAAGUCUGUUCCUACGCUCAUUUACCAUCUGUGUCUCUUCUCUGGCGAGAUGUUUGCGUAGCUAUUUGGCCCAUUUUCUCAUCAGGUUCUUUUCUUAUUUUGAGUUUUAAGAGUUCUUUCUCUAGUUUGAAUAUCAGUCCUUUAUCAAACGUGUCUUAUGCAAAUAUUUUCCCCCAGUUUGUGCCUUGUCUUCUCAUUCUCCUUCACAGAGCAGAGCCAUUUAAAAUUCCUACAUCUUGGUAAAAUGCUGCUUAUCAGUUAUUAAUUUUAUGGAUCGUGCCUUUGGUGUUAUAUCUAAAAAUCAUUGCCAUGUCCUAGGAGAAAACAUAGUUUUCUCCCAAGUUAUCUUCUGGGAGUUUUAUGGUUUGUGUGUGUGUGCGUUUGACAUUCAGGCCGACGAGUCAUUUUGAGGUAAAAUAUUCUGUUGUUCUUUUGGCCACUCCUGUAGCUUUUGUGGAAAUUCCUGCACCCGGGGUAGAACCUGCACCACAGCAGGGGCCCAAACUGAUGCAAUGACAACGCCAGAUCCUUGACCUGUGGCCCUGCAGGAGAAGGCCAAUUUUCCAUUAAUUUUUGUCAAAUGUAUAAGGUCUGCAUGGAGAAUUUUUUUUUUUUCUGUGUGGACGUCCAGCCGUUCCAGCACCAUUUGUUGAAAAACUAACUUUGCCCAUUGUAUUGUCUUUGCUCCCACUACCAGUUGGCUCUAUUUGUGUGUGUCUAUUUCAGGAUUCUAUUCUGUUCUAUGAACGUGUUUUCCUGUCUUUUUACGAAUAUCACCCCAUCCCGAUCACUACAGUUCUGUCGGAAGGCUUAAGACCCAGUAGAGUCAGUCAUCCUGCUUUGUUUUUCUCCUUCCAUAUUGUGCUGCUUUUCUGGACUUUUUGACUCUCCAUAUACAUUUUAUUUUAUUAAAAAAAUUUUUUUUGUCUUUUUAGGGCCACACCUGUGGCACAUGGAGGUUCCCAUGCUAGGGGUCCAGUUGGAGCUGAAGCUGCUGGCCUGCACCACAGCCACAGCAACACGGGAUCUGAGCCACAUCUGAGACCGACACCCCAGCUCAUGGCAACGCUGGUCCUUCGCCCACUGAGCGAGGCCAGGGAUCGACCCCACAUCCUCAUGGAUGCUAGCCAGGUUCACUAACCGCUGAGCCAUGAGGGGAACUCCUCCAUGUACGUUUUAGAAUCCAUUUGUGGUAUCCACAAAGAGCUGCCUAGGAUUUUGAGUGGGAUGCCUUAAAUCUACAGAUCAAAUUCGGAAGAGCUGGCCUCUUAACCACUGCCUUCCUCUCCACGAGCUUGGAACCUCUCUCCACUCAAUUAGUUCUUCUUUGAUUUCUUUCAUCAGUUUUGUAGCUUUCCUCACAUAGAUUUUGUUCCCGUUUUGUUAGGUUUAUUAUAAGCAUUUCCUUUUUCGGGGGCUCAUGUACAUGAUACUGUGUUUUAAAUGUCAAUUUCCAGUUAUUCAUUGCUAGUAUAUGAACUAGGAAUGUGACUUUUGUAUUUUAAGCUUAUAUCCUGCAGUCUUGCUAUAAUUGCUUAUUAGUCCCCAGAGUUUUCUGAUUCUUCGGAUUUUCUGUUUAGAUGACGUGCCAUUUGCGCACAAACACAGCCUUAGUCCUUCCUUCCCAACCUGCAUACCUUUUAUUUCCUUUUCUUGCCCAACUGCAUUAGCAAAGACGUUCCAUACAAGGUUGAGAAGGUGGUACAGCUGGUUUUUCCGCUCAGCAGUGGAUAUUUGUUGUUUCUGGGUUUUGCCUGCUCUGAGGAGAGCUGCUUUGUUCAGAUCAUACAGCACAUGUGUGGACAUAUGUGCUCUCUUCUCAUGGGGAAGCGCCCAGGCGUGGGAUGCUGCAUUGCAGGUCAAAGAGAUGCCGGACGGUCCGAGGCACAGCCGAGCUCCUGUCCAAGGCGGGUUUCUGAUGGGCAGCGUGUCGGUGGCUUUUGACGCUCAUCUGAUAGUCUCUGCCUUCCAGUCAGAGUAUUUAGACCAUUUAAGUUUUGCUGACUCUGGACGGAGAGGGUUGAAACCUACCCUCUUCCUAAAGCUUUUUGCUUUUGUCCUGUUUGUCCUUUGUUACUUCCCCCUUUUUUGCCUUCUCUUGGGGCCUCUUCUACAAUUCCAUUUUACUGCACCUGUCAGCUGACCAGUGACCCUUCGGGGGCUUUUCAGUGACGGGGCAGCACCGUGACUCUCACGUUCGCCCCUCGCUCAGACACAGAAGAAUUCAGAGACACGGGUCUCUGCAGGGCUUCCUGCCCACUAGGAGUUUGCAGCAUUUGCCUCAUGUGGGAGAGAGGUCCAGGGACUGCCCAGUUUCUCCUCUGCAGCCCUCGGGGCGGCGGCGUGGUGGGGGGCAUUUCUGUCCCUCUUCUGGGCACCUGGCAGCUGGCACAGGCCCUCCCUGUAGCCAAGCCAGCUCCCCAGCUUGUUUUGCCCUUAGGAAUCCAUCAAACCCUCAGCCACAUUCCUUUUAUCUGAGGUCCGGGCCACCGUGCUUUGGUCAGAAUCAUCUGAGGUUUUGUUUGCUUCAUUUUGUUUGGUGCAAGAGGCAAGGAGCAGAUGGUAUACUGUUAACAGAUGGAGAGGAAACCAGAAAGCCUCCAGUCUCUUCUCUGCUUCCUUUAUGUAAAAACGGAGUUCCUGCAGAAAGGACACGCAGGCUUGCUGGGAGUGAGAUCCCAACAGAGAAGAACGCGACACCUGCUCUCCAAGGGCGUGUGGGCAGUCCGACCCAGAUAACCUGAAAGACCUUGGGAACGCGUGUGAAGUGCUUGGAGGGAACCUCUCUGGAAUCUUGAAGAACGAGACAGACACCAGGACAGAAGAGGUGGCAGACGCGCCAGCUCUUGGGGCGGGGAGGAGGAGACUACGGAUGCGCAAGCUCACUGUCCACAGGUGGGUAGUUUUGGUCUAGAGGUCAACUGCGUCCCGAGAAAUGCUCGGGGAAGAAAGGAACAAGCAUUGGCUCAUUGAAAGGAAAAAGCCAAGGUCGCCUCCUCCUGCGUAUGAAGUCUUAGGAGGUGGGGGAAGCCGCCUGGGUCUGCUUCCAUCGGGGCGGGGGGAGGAAAAAGGCAACAGCACACGUGCGUGAAUUCAGAGCUGGACCCAGGGAAUUUUAAUGCUGUGUCCCUGCAUCUAUUCUGCUCAAAACUGAUUCUCUCUCAUCCCAGUGACGGUGGGAUCACUGUGACUGAGCAGCCUCGUGUCUAAAAUAAUAAAAUAUCCGCCCCAAUGAGGAAGGGUAAGGGCGUGGCGGGGCACAGUCUUUGUCUUCCUUGCGUGUUGCUGGUGCGGCCGGUGGGGAGGCCGUCGAGCCGAGGUCCGCCCGUCGCCGUUGGCCCUCGCGCCCUUCACUUUGUCCCAGAGCCACCGUGUCUGCGGAGAUGCUCGCCGCUGUGGGCGAGGGUGGUGCCAGACGCAGGGAAAGGCCAGGGGACACGCACAACGAGACAUCUGAACUUGGCAAAGUACGAAAGCUCCCCGCUUGCGAACUCUCUGGACCCCAGACUAGAGAACGCGAUGUCCCGAGCUGAGUCUCUGUGCCUAGAAUUGGGGGGCAGGGGGCGCACGGGCCUCGAAGGGCUACCGAGCUCCCGGCAGUCCCGCCUCAGCCUGGGGCGCCCGCAACAGCGCCUCGGUCCCCCUGAGGCCGAGCAGAGGCUUCUUCACGCUCCUCCUGGUGAGUGAUGGGCGCAGAGUUCACGUGAGCCCACGAGCACCUUGAACGCCAGGUAAGCCUUUCCGUUUCCCCAGGUCCUUGGAGGAUCCGUUCAGCACUCCAGGUGAUGGUGCGCCAGAAAGAGCAGCCUGGACGUUCCAAACCCUUCGAAGCAUCGCAGCGCCGUCAAGGCACCAACAGGUAAACCUCAGGCCGGAGAAGCCACAGGGGUUUCCAGCCACAGCGGCCAAGCUGAGCUCAAGCGUUUCAAGCAACCCCUUCAAGAAAGAGCCGACUUGGGGGUCCCCAUGCCGCUCACUCAGAGAACCAGGUAGGGGAUCCGGGUCCCUGCUCUUGGGAAGAAUUUUGAUCAAGUUCAUCAACCCCUGAAAGAGUUGAGAAAUAUUUUACCACAUUGGAAAAACGACUGAGGCCAGCAGAGGCAAAGAGGUGGGCCGGUCGGCUCCCACAGGCCUGUGGUCCGAGCCUGGGCCUCUUCCUGCCCAGGGCAGCACGACAGGAUCCGUUCCCUGUUCCUGCUCCUUCUCUUCAGCCCCUCCCGUCAAUUCCUUCUCCCAGCUGCGUGGGCAUUUGAUACCAGGUCCCCGAAGGGUGAGCCCUUGCUCAGAGACCUCUCCACUGUCCGCACCCCCAGACGAGGGCACGAUUUCAGAACACCUGCUCUCCUUGCCGUCACUUCUCCACGUGACUCCCAGCCCACGAGCCACCUCUGCAAAGGACCGAGGCCAGCAAACCUCUUCCUGAUGUACAGCCAGUGGGACUCAGCUGCGUCCUGGACCGAUUCACUUCUCACAAAAUUAUCCUGACAGCCUCGCUUGCUGACCUCGGGGAACCCAGACUGAACCCGUUGCCUUGCCUUUGGGACCAGGACGGGCGUUGUUUAAAGAUGGGCCCUGUAUGUCGCUCCAGAUCAGAAUGUUUUCCUUUUAUAGCAUUUUAACAGCUUUUCCCAGAAAACAUCAGCCUUACACUGUGUCACGCUGUAUUUAAUUGCACAAUAUGCUCGGCUCUUUAAAAGAAUGUUGGAAAGAUUAAGUUUUAAAAUGAUAAGCCUGG
rnacentral:lncRNA from 9 species